rnacentral:rRNA from 1 species
UACGUAGGGUGCGAGCGUUGUCCGGAAUUAUUGGGGGUAAAGAGCUCGUAGGCGGUGUGUCACGUCGGCCGUGAAAACCUGCAGCUUAACUGUGGGCGUGCGGUCGAUACGGGCAUCACUGGAGUUCGGCAGGGGAGACUGGAAUUCCUGGUGUAGCGGUGAAAUGCGCAGAUAUCAGGAGGAACACCGGUGGCGAAGGCGACUUCCUGGCCUGUUCUUGACGCUGAGGCGCGAAAGCUAGGGUAGCAAACGGG